AUACCCUUCACUCUUGCUGCUAUCUUUCGGUCCCAGAUCACCCCUGACACUCAUCUCUGCACACCCCACUUUGCCUGUACAGUCUUCUUCAACUCUUAUGCAGUUUUCGUUGGUUUUGAUGGUUGACCCCAGGUAUUUAAACUCAUCAGCCUUCACACCUCUACCUCUUGCAGCUUCAGUGUUACACAUAGAUGAUUAUAGAUGGCAUUCCAUUGAUGCCUGCUACAUGCCCUCAAAAUACCAGAUAUUAGGUAUAAAAAAAAUCGUUUUGAUUAUGUUAUACUAAGGGCUCACACAUUUGCAUAAAUACAAGUUCCAGUAACUUGGUUACCCACUUACCAAUAAAGUUGACUUCGCUGCUGUUUAACCUCAUUAGCAUGUCGAUAUGUUGAUUGGACAGGAUGUCUUUGGUCCCUCCCCUGUUGAAACACAGCCUUUAAUCCCUGGUAAUCUCCUCAUCUACUGAGAGCCCACAGUCAUGGCUGCACCAGAGGAAAAUUUGCUGUCUCUUGGGCGUCUGAACGGCUCAGAAAAAAACACUUUCACCAAAGAAAGACAAUUCUGUGGAAAUAAGAGUGUUAACAAGCCGGUAUUGUUGCAAGAUGACCCUUCAGCUCUUCACAGUCAGGAACAUCUAGUGAUGCACCUGCAGCAACGCUGGCAGGAGCUGAAGGAAAGAGAGUACACAGCGCAGCAACAAAACAGGCAGCUGCUGCAGCAGUUUGAGAGAGCCCAGGACACACUGAAAGAGAUGCUGGCCCGCAAUGCUGCCAUGAAAAUGAUUCGGAUGGAGUAUGAGAGAUACCUGGAGGAGAACUCCCCCCGCUGGCAGCAGCAACUUAAGGAGAAGAGACAGGCAGCUCAGAAGAAGAAAAUGGACGACUAUUUGAAGUCAUGUUUAAAGAACACGGACGUGAUGAAAUCUUCUGCAGGUCCACCCACGGAGCCACAAAAAACUGCUACACCUCAAGGUUACACUGACUACAACCAAGAUGGCUCCUCCCAUCUUCCCCACACACGGUCCUCCUGGUUGAGCCGCAGUCAAUCCCAGAUAGCCAGAUUUCCUACCAGAGUUCCACCCAUCAUUCCUCACCCAUAUCCGCUUUACUAUCCCGCCUCCGCACCCGGACAGUACCAUCAUCCCUGGCCAAGGCAAGAUCUACAAGGCAGGGCUUCCCUACAGCCUGACUACCCCUGGUACCUGCCUGCUGGUGCAACUGGAACUCCAUCAUACUCCGAGGCCCUGUGGGGCCAGCUUUAUAUGGAGGAGCCUUUACGUGACUCAAGGGUUUCGCAGACUGUAGGAGAGGAGGAUAAAAUGAGCAGAGUGCUGAGCUCACAGAGGGAGAGGAGUGUCAGAAGCAGCAGCAGUCGUUCGUCCCACGAGUUAGACGUUAAACCAGGUGAAAAGAGAAUACAUAAAAAUAAAUACUUUUCUUACAUGAGACUUUGUGCGUAUUCAGCAUGUGUGUGGACUUGUGUUUUGUGUUCGUACAUUCUGUAUCCAGUCCGUCUGUCCAGCAGUCACAGUGAGAGCAGUGAGAGUGGCAGGGACUCCAGCAAAAAGGCGGGGAAGGAGGAGAAGGGAGGAAGAAAACAGCGUGUCUCUUCAGACAGAGAGAGAUGCAGCCCUCAGGAGUUAUCUGGGAAUUCGAGUGCCAUUUUCAGUCCCACAGUUGGAGUGGCCCAAAGUUCAGAAAGCAAUGACUCGUCAGAGAAAAGCCUGAGGAGCAGUAGCAGAAGGACAAAGAAAACUGGGGAUCUUUCUGUUCAAUCACCAGGAUCUCAGAAGGAGGCAGAGGAAAGGACUGUGAGUAAGGGAGGUGACUCCGAGAUUCAGGACACUGGUGAGGAGUCAGGAAGUUUGAGUGAGACAUACGAGGGUGAAAAAGCAGGGAAUCAAAAUCAUGAAGAGAAAACAAACAGAUGCAAAGAGUCAGGAUCCCAGAAGGAGAAGGAAUCAGAAAGUGACAGUGCAAAGAAUAAAAAUGAUGAUGCCGGUGAAGUAGAAGAGCAGGACAGUAGCAGCGCUGAGCAAAGCAGCACAGGAGAAAAAGUUAAAGAUAAGACAGAGGAAAACCUGGAAGCUGAAGAAGACGGUGAAGAAAAAGAGAAGAGUCAAAAAGAUAAAGAACAAGAUGACUACGAUAUCAAACAAGGUGAUGGUGCUUCUGCCAAGGACGCAACAGAGGAGGAAGCAGAGACAUCUACAGAUGAUGAAAUAGAGGAGCAGGGAGGUGAAGAACAGUCAAUCAGGCUGAAGAACGAAGGCACUGAGAACAGAAAACAGGGUGCUGCCUCCUCUCAGGACGAAGAGGAUGGAAGUGAAGGCAGUGAAGAAGAGGAUGAGGACUCGAAUCAACAGGAGGAUGACAAAAGUGAGGAAGAGGAACACGGGAGUGAGGAAGAUCAGAUAGAUUCAGACAACUGCAUCGUCACACCACAAGAAAAGAGAUCUACACAGAUUAUAACUGAUGAGGCAGCUCAGGAACAGGAAGAGGGUAAAACAGGAUCUGAUAAUGAUGACUCAAACGAAGUCAGUGAUGAAGAUGAUAUUGAGAACCUUCUUGCGCCUCAAGAAGAAACACAGGAAAAAGAAAAGUAUCUGAGAGCUGAAGAGAAGCCCAAAGGUACAGUAUAA
ensembl:lncRNA